rnacentral:rRNA from 1 species
AUUGAACGCUGGCGGCAGGCCUAACACAUGCAAGUCGAACGAGUGGCGCAGGGGUGUGUAAUGUCUGGGAAUCUGCCCGAUGGAGGGGGAAAACUACUGGAAACGGUAGAUAAUACCGCAUACUAUCGGAUGUGCCCAGAUGGGAUUAGCUAGUAGGUGGGGUAAUGGCUCACCUAGGCGACGAUCCCUAGCUGGUCUGAGAGGAUGACCAGCCACACUGGAACUGAGACACGGUCCAGACUCCUACGGGAGGCAGCAGUGGGGAAUCUUGCACAAUGGGCGCAAGCCUGAUACAGCCAUGCCGCGUGUGUGAAGAAGGCCUUCGGGUUGUAAAGUACUUUCGGCUGGGAGGCGUUACCCGCAGAGGAAGCACCGGCUAACUCCGUGCCAGCCGCCGCGGUAAUUC